GGAUGAGUGGGCUCAGGACACGGCGCGGGCCCAGGCCACCUCAUCGUGGGUCUCCACCCUGCGCAGCACCCGCGGGACCCCCCGAAAAUGGGGGGAGCUGCCCCCUCCCCCCAAACCCGCCCUGCGUGGGGGGGGCAGCCCCCUCCCCCCGGGGGCCGAGUGAGGGGGGGUCCCCAGACCCCAAAAUCCCAAAAAUCCCACUUUCACCCCAAAUCUCCCUUCAUUUUGGGUCCAAAAAAGGCUGACCCCAAUUUUCGGCCCCCAAAUUGUUUCGUUUCACCUCAAAAAUCCCUCUUUUUGAUCCCCUCGUAGGGUCAACUCUGAUUUCCAGCCCAU